rnacentral:rRNA from 1 species
CAAUAACGUAUAUUUAAGUUGCUGCAGUUAAAAAGCUCGUAGUUGGAUUUCGGGUGGGAAUGGCCGGUCCGCCGUUUCGGUGUGCACUUGCUACGCCCACCUUGCUGCCGGGGACGUGCUCUUGAGUUCACGCUCGGGACACGGAGUCGGCGAGGUUACUUUGAGUAAAUUAGAGUGUUCAAAGCAGGCCUACGCUCUGAAUACAUUAGCAUGGAAUAACACGAUAGGACUCUGGCCUAUCUUGUUGGUCUGUAGGACCGGAGUAAUGAUUAAGAGGGACAGUCGGGGGCAUUCGUAUUUCAUUGUCAGAGGUGAAAUUCUUGGAUUUAUGAAAGACGAACUACUGCGAAAGCAUUUGCCAAGGAUGUUUUCAUUAA